GCAUGUUAAACUCAGCGUGACUGAUCAAAUAAGAAAAUAACUCACAAAUAAAUGUUUCUUGAUGAAUUUGGUCUUUAAAAUCUAAUUAUUUUAAGAAAACAAGCUUUGUUUCGAGAGAUAAGCUAAAAUUGGGUUUUAUUGAUUUUGGUGCAUUUUUUACCAGCCAUUCCAGAUAACCAUGUGUUCUUUAUAUUGAGGUGAUAGGUUGGUCAACUUGUGAUUAAUAAUAAUGAAGGUUUUCUAAACAUUUCCUUAAAUUACAACCAUAAUCGAAGCUUAUUACAAGCUUUCCUCUUUCUUUUGUUUCAAAUUUGAUAUUGUGGAGGAAGCUUAAGAUGCGUAAAAGGUGGUAGUUACAUUUACAUGUAUUUUAUCAAGGAAUGCAAGGUUGUUCUUCGUUAGAAAACUCUUAGAAAAGGCUUCACAUUUUACAGAAGCUGUCUGAAAAUUUCACCAGAUUACAAUUCAGGCAGCGUAUAGUCAAAUGAUUCAAUCGGGCCGAGCACUGGGGACAUAACUAAUCUCUCCACAGUGAGCGUCUGCAGACAUUGCUGCCAAAAAAGCUGUUUCCUUUCACAUCACAGCCUGGCAGACGGCCUGCAGAGAACACGACCAGGGGAGGAAAGACGGCGAGUGCUUUAAGUUCCAGCCACCUUACAGGACAGGCUGUGAAUAUUAAUGUUACAGGAGGGCAGCUGGUCGUUCGGCAUCAGAUGUUGGAUAAAAAUCCUUCCAAGGCUUCAUCAUCAAAGGACUGCAAGUGUCCAGCCCAGGGUCAGGAGAGGCUUUACCUGGUGGUCCUCCUGGGAGAGAGGCCUUCUACUGUCAUCAUGUUAAUGUUAUUUAGCUGUUUGAUAUUUGAACACAUUUAUUAAAACAAAUACUAACUGAUAACUCUUUCUGGUCAUUGAUUUUAUCACCAGUUUUAUUAUUACAGAUGUUUUUGAACAUGUUACAUGAACAGAAAAUGAAAAGAUGGUAAGGAGACAAGAUUAUUUAUAAUAGGUUAAACUUAUUUACAGAUCAAAACCAGUAUAGACCAGUUAUGUACGGUUAAAGCAGGAUUAACCUGAGUGACUCUUCCUGGAUAAUUUAUUUAAACUGAGUGAGCAGGAAGUCUUUAACAGUGCAGCUGGAUCUGCUGCAGGAGGAUCCAGACGUGGAUGGAGGGCUGGAGCAGACCUGUGGCUGGACGUUUCUGGUCAGAGGAACAUCAUACAGGACGGUCUGCAGAGAGCUUUGGGAUGCUUCCUCUCACUGUCCACUCCAUCGUCCAUCUACAGGGACUGCUGGGCUGGCUCAGAUGACGGCUGUUACAUCUCUAAGAUGUAUUCAGAAAUAUGAAAUGAGGAGAUGGUUUAUGGAUCCACUGGUAUAACAAUUGUGACUCUUCAGCAAAUAAAACCACAGUGUUGUUUUUAAUAGAGGUUCCUACAUAAAUGACUUGCCUGUUAACAGUAGUGGUGGUUUGCUGGUACCUCCUCCAGGACAGAGCACCACUGACCUCCUCCACACACAUCUUCCUCAGGCUC